rnacentral:lncRNA from 1 species
ACAGUCAAAUGGGAACAAGUUCCAGAAAAGUGCUGAAAUAAUUACUGGUAAGUUUUUAGAGAUUGAUUGAUGGACAAGGAACUGGAAGGAGUGAUUUGGGUGAAAAAAAAAGAUUUCUAAGACGCUCCAAAUGAAAGCCUAAACUGAGAAACAAGGAAUUUGAUUUUAGAAAAAAGAUAAAGAUGUGCCGCAGAAGGAUGACCGACCUACUAAACGUUAUUUUAAAGAUUUGUUCACUCUCAACACACAAAGGAGCAACAAGCAAACAUUACACCAAAUUGUAUGCAACAGCAUGUAUGCACAACAAUUGUUGCUAAGCCUUAUGUUAAAUUUUAAUUUAAUGAAAAAUCUUAUUUUCUCUAUAUUUUUAUCAGCACAAAAAUACAUAAUUAAAUCAUUUUAGCCCUAUUUCAGAAUGAGCAAAUUUUUGGGUGUUACACCUGCUCUAAACCUGAACUUGUGGGAAGAGUACUUGAUCUAAAGUCUAAGUUGUUAACAGAUAUGAUAUGGGAAGGUUGAGCUGUUGUUUAUCUGUUCCUAGAGACUCUAGAAUUCUAGAGAAUAUUAUCUUUGAAAUUUUUUAAAAUAACACAUGAUGAGUUCCUAUAUGAUGAGAGUUUAAAUUCCUACCACAGCCAUAUAUACAUACUUGCUAGACUUUGAGCCACACAUUUACUUUUUACUGCUUAUGAGCAUUGAGCGUGGUCCCUUAGGAGCUUGUCAUGCGGUUAAAAUCAAGAUCCACUUGCACGUUCACUCACACAUGCUGCUUCUACUCCGGAAGUACGCAUCUACAUAUAUCCACUCACUUACAUCUCCAGAUUCACCCAAAAGUAUUCUACUUCUAAUCUGGAAGAGAAUAGCCAAAAGCAUUAUUCUAUCCCUGUUAUUCCCUGUGGAAUAAAUGCUCGAGUUAUCUUGGUUACUACCACUUGCUAUAUUAUUUCAGGAAAUGAGUGCUGUUAAAAAAAGAAGAAAAAGAGGAAAAAUACGAGGAAAUAAAAAGGGGCAAGUGCCCGGAACCUCGAAGAAAAGAAAAAGUGAGACGAGAGGUAAAAAUGGACAAGUGUCCGAUAGUAGAAUUAGGGGUACGAGAUACCCACCUGAGAGGAAAGAAAAAGAAAAUAUAGAACAUCUCAUUCUCCUUAAAAAGCUUCAAAGUGCAAGAAAGGUAUGUAUCCCCUUAAAAGAGCAAAAGUAGAAUUAGAUUUUCACCAUUGUUAUCACCAUCAUCACCAUACACCAUUCACUCGCCACACAUGCACAUCUUGAUUUGACUUAUUGACUUGUUCUUCUGGAUCCAUGGUUUGACUAUGCAAUAAAUAUCUUGUAAGUAUGUAUUAUCUGUCUCCGACCUAUGAGUUCCAAAUAUCAAAACAUUAUUAGAAUAGGGUGAGAGAGAAGGCAAUAUCACUAUGCCUCAUACCAAAAAUACCAUAUACUUUGAGAGAAGGCAUAUACCAUUAUUGCCUUGGUAAGGAUCCAGAAAUACCACAAAAGAGAGAUCUGAGAGAGUCAUACAAGGAAUCUCUAAGUUUUAUUUGAAAAUUUGAAAAAACUCCAGAGCUAUAGCUGAUCAAGAAUAAGAGACAUGGCGCUUGACUGGACCGUUCUAUCUUUUAACUGCUCAAGACGCAAGUGACGGUUACAAGCCCCAUGAUGAAAGGUAAAAUGAGUAAGUUUUAAGUCUUAACAGUUUACUCUAACUCAGGGAUGAGAUCUUACUUUUAAGGCAUGAAACCACUGCAGAAACUUUUGAGUCCAUCCUUGCUCACGGACGAGCAAGAGGUAAGCUUGGGGGAGUUGUUGACGGUCCUUAAGUACCAAAUAUAAUCAUCAAAUAAAUAAAGAAAAGGAUCCAAAUGCAACCAACACCCAGACUUAGGGUUUUAUCUGACAGAAUUCCACGAGUUUUGGUGUUUGUCUAUUUCUGCAGGAGGUUACCAGGAAAUACGGAAGAAAGGCCCACACGUCGGGUUUACAUAGAGAUAUUAACGUGCCGCGCAAUUUUCUAUCAUCUAGAAGACUCGAGAAGCCACGGGAACGAACGGGAAGGUGAUCGGGCCCGGGGGCAGGGCGCCCGCCCUGACCUAGAUUCGUUUCAGAACUCUCUUCGCGGACCAAGCUCCACUGACCUAAAGGAUCAAGGAUAACCGUCCAAUCAAUGUCGGUUUGAUCCAAUGGCUCAGUUCACUUGAGGGGACUAUAAAACCAGACCCCCUGGCCC